rnacentral:rRNA from 1 species
GACGAACGCUGGCGGCGUGCUUAACACAUGCAAGUCGAACGGAAAGUCCCUGUUUUUUUGGGUUCCUGUAGUGGCGAACGGGGAAGUAACACUUGAGUAACGUGUCCUUGACUUUGGGAUAUCUUCAGAAACCUGGGUCUAUUACGGCCAAGGAUUUCUUGCUUUUGGUUGGGGCUGGGUUGUUUUAGCCGGUUGGGCAUGUAAUGGCGGCUCAUCGGAUUGUUGCUGGGGUAGUGGCUUACCAAGGCUUGGCCGGGUAGCCGUCCUGGGGGGGUCGCCGGCCACGUUGGGACUGGGAUGCGGCCCAGACUCGUCCGGGAGGCAGGAGUGGGGAAUAUUGCACAAUGGGAGGAAGCCUGAUGCAGCAACGCCGCGUGCGGGAUGACAGCCUUCGGGUUGUAAACCGCUUUCGCCUGUGACGAAGCGUGAAUGACGGUAAUGGGUAAAGAAGCACCGGCUAACUACGU